GGCAUGGUAGCUCAAUAGGUCAGAGCGUUGGACUGUUGAUCCAAAGGUUGCCAGUUCAAUUCUGGUCCAUGCCU